rnacentral:rRNA from 1 species
UGGAAACGGUGGCUAAUACCUCAUAUGCUGAGAAGUGAAAUGAUCGCCAAGAGAUGAGCUUGCGGCUGAUUAGCUUGUUGGUGAGGUCACCAAGGCCAUGAUCAGUAGCUGGUCUGAGAGGAUGAGCAGGGGACUGAGACACGGCCCAGACUCCUACGGGAGGCAGCAGUGAGGAAUUUUCCGCGAAAGCCUGACGGAGCAAUACCGCGUGAAGGAUGACGGCCUGUAAACUUCUUUUCUCAGAAAAGAAUAUCUGACGGUAUCUGAGGAAUAAGCAUCGGCUAACUCUGUGCCAGCAGCCGCGGUAAGACAGAGGAUGCAAGCGUUAUCCGGAAUGAUUGGGCGUAAAGCGUCUGUAGGUGGUUUGUCAAAUCCUA